rnacentral:lncRNA from 1 species
AAGAGUAAUUUCUGGUGCUUAGGUAAUAAAGUGUAGAAAUCACAGAAAGAAUCUCCUUUGUUGUUUAGGCAUGGAUUGCCCUUUUGUAGGAAGAAUGCAGGCCACUGAUCAUUUGCAAAGGCAACAUUUUCCCACUGUUUUGCUGGUAGUAGUGCAUGGAGAUCCCACAUCCCUACUUAAUCUCCUUUGUGAUGAGCCGGUGUGAAUAAAAAAUAAACAGUGUUUUGGUUGAUUAUAGAAUGAAUUACCAGUGCGUGGAGAUCCCACAUCCCUACUUAAUCUUCCUUGUGAUGAGCCGGUGUGAAUAAAAAAUAAAUAGUGUUUUGGUAGAUUAUAGAAUGUGUUAUUUGAUUAAUCAGUGCUUCAUUUGGUUUAGUUGAGAUUGUAACGAUUUUGUUUCAACUUCUGCUCAUUUUUUGCUUUGACGCAUCUUCUAAACCUGCAUGUUUUGUUAGUAUAGAGUUUUGUGGAACUCUUUCGCUUACAGUUAUCCGAUUGACUUCAGUGAACGGUUCCAUACCAUGAAACGUUGCUGGAAUUUCUACCAAGGAUGUGCAUGCUUCUGAGCUCAACUGAACUUUCCAAUGGAAACACUGGUUGUAGAUACCACGGCAAACUCAAAUGGUCUUAGCACUACAUACCUCACAUGAGAUCCUACAAUUUGGAUGAAUGGGUAGUAACCAGGGAAGUGGUUGGGGUUUCUCCCUUCAGGUUGGGUGGUUAUAUAUACAUAUAUAUGACCCAUUACACAUGUUCUUUAUUUAUAUGACCAAUUUCACAGGAGAUCUAUAUGUUAAGACGUAGGAGAUCAGUGCUAUAAAACAAAUUAUUUUCUUCUAUUCAAAUUGUAAGUGGUUAUUUUAUACCAUUUCCUCUGUCCCCGUUCCUGUGCCAAUGGGAAAUGUUAUACUAGAAUACCCUGGACAUAUUCUCUUAACCUGUUACUCCUACGCCACGGUUGUAGCAGACGCUGAAUUAAAAUAAGCCAUAUCGGCCAGGGAACUUGAUUUUGGAUUUAUUUUUAGAUUCUUUUUCUCCUAAUGAGAAUCUGUAUUUUAACUGUCGUUAGAAGAUAUAUUCUUACUUCCAAAACUACUACUGUAUCAUAAGUAACAGUUUUGGGUACCAAGUGGCUUAUGUCGGGAUAAAUUAUUCUGGGAUUAUUUUUUAUCCACUAUUUAAUAUGUUGUAUUAAAAGUGAUAAUUGCAUAAUUUGUAAGAAGAAGAUAUAAGUUAUUCUGGUGUUAGUUACUUUUUCUCUAUAAAGUAUAAGUUAUUCCAGUAUUAA